GAAAUACCCAGACUGGUCCUGGUCCAGGGCCCUCUGGGCAAAGCAAAACCUGAUGAAUCCAGACAACCCAAUGGGUGAUACUGGGGGCGAAGGGACAGAUUCUAAGAAAAGAAAGGAAUGGAGGCUAACCUGGAUGAAUGACAGAACUGGUGCCUCCAGCCAGCUGUCCGGCUCCCAAAUUCCGGCCGAGAGUCCCGGGAACAAAGCAAGAAAAAUCAGAGAGAGAAUCCUAAGGAGAGCAAACCCCAAGCAGGGACCACUCGCCCACAGGACGCGAACCGCAGAGACCAACAGAAGAAUCCAGGGGCCUCUACCACUCCAGGCCGGCCCAGUCCUGGGGGUGUCCAAGACACUGAGAUGGGCCCCUGCCGCAGACAUCUGGACUCAGUGCUGCAGCAACUGCAGACCGAGGUCUAUCGCGGGGUUCACACCCUCUACGUGCCUAAUUGUGACCAUCGGGGCUUCUACCGGAAGCGGCAGUGCCGCUCCUCCCAGGGGCAGCGCCGAGGUCCCUGCUGGUGUGUGGAUCGGAUGGGCCAGCCCCUGUCGGGGUCCCCGGAUGGUGAUGGAAGCUCCUCCUGCCCCCCUGGGAACAGUGGCUAAGGCUGGUGGGGGGUGCUUCAGGGCCACUGAGAGGAGCAUGGGGCUGUCAUCUUGGGUCAUUUGUUGAGUGAUGAGUAACUCAGGAGCCCUGAGCCCCACACUCCACCUUCAGGCCCUACCCCACUGUCCCCCUAACCCCUGGGAACCCCACACAUGGAAAGAUUGUUAGUGUGGGCUUGGGGUGUGAAUAAAGCUAUGUUGGGGGUCUCUGGCCUACGUCUC
rnacentral:lncRNA from 1 species